AGUCGAGGGGCAUCAGGAAGAAAGCUUGCUUUCUUUGCUGGCGACCGGCGCACGGGUGAGUAACACGUAUCCAACCUGCCCUUUACUCGGGGAUAGCCUUUCGAAAGAAAGAUUAAUACCCGAUGGGAUAAUUAUUCCGCAUGGUUUGAUUAUUAAAGGAUUCCGGUAAAGGAUGGGGAUGCGUUCCAUUAGGUUGUUGGUGAGGUAACGGCUCACCAAGCCUUCGAUGGAUAGGGGUUCUGAGAGGAAGGUCCCCCACAUUGGAACUGAGACACGGUCCAAACUCCUACGGGAGGCAGCAGUGAGGAAUAUUGGUCAAUGGGCGCUAGCCUGAACCAGCCAAGUAGCGUGAAGGAUGAAGGCUCUAUGGGUCGUAAACUUCUUUUAUAUAAGAAUAAAGUGCAGUAUGUAUACUGUUUUGUAUGUAUUAUAUGAAUAAGGAUCGGCUAACUCCGUGCCAGCAGCCGCGGUAAUACGGAGGAUCCGAGCGUUAUCCGGAUUUAUUGGGUUUAAAGGGAGCGUAGGUGGACUGGUAAGUCAGUUGUGAAAGUUUGCGGCUCAACCGUAAAAUUGCAGUUGAUACUGUCAGUCUUGAGUACAGUAGAGGUGGGCGGAAUUCGUGGUGUAGCGGUGAAAUGCUUAGAUAUCACGAAGAACUCCGAUUGCGAAGGCAGCUCACUGGACUGCAACUGACACUGAUGCUCGAAAGUGUGGGUAUCAAACAGGAUUAGAUACCCUGGUAGUC
rnacentral:rRNA from 1 species